rnacentral:lncRNA from 1 species
GGGAUAUACACACACAAGGUAACCAGUGACCAGGUUGGCACUCCGAGCAGAUCAGACCCAGAACACUUCCCAGUGCUGGCUCAGCCCAGAGACAGCCCACAUGCUGGCUCCCCUCAUUUUUGGCAUGAUACCCAGUACCUGUAAUCAGGGUCUCUCCCUACACCCCUCCAUAGGGAUUGGGUUUCCAAAGUCCUUUUGUGGUCUAAAUAACCAUUGGCUGCACUCCAAGAGGACCCAUAGACUUCCCUGGCCUCCUAGCUGGCACCCACAUUCAGAGGGCUUGGUUCGGUCUAAUGCUGUUUCCAUUACGUAGUCCAGCUGUGUCCAGCUUUACAACUAGUGUCUCUGUGCUUUCACUAGGUCAGGUCAAAUGUUUCUGUGGGUUUCUCAAGCACAGUCUUGGCUCCUUUGUUCAUCCCUCAUCCCUCUCCACACCUGGAUUUCAGGAAUAUGGCUCAGUGUUUAGCUGUGGGUUCCUGUUUCUGCUUAGAUCAGCUACUGGAUGAAAGCACUAAGAACGGCAACCAUGGUAGGUGUCAAUCUCAUUAUAGGGGGAGGGCAUCAAAGGCAGCCUCUCCACCACUGCCUAGAUUCUUAGUUGGGGUCAUCCGGUGGAUCCCCUAACAUUUUCUCUGUCCCAGUCCUCUCUCCAAACCUGGCUCCCUUUAUGAAGGCAUCUCCUUUCUUGCCUUCCAUUUUUCCUUUUCUAUCUCAGUCCUUCUCUUUGCUCCUGUUCUCCAUCCCCUUCUUCUCCUCCCAACUCCCUACUCUCAAGAUCUGUGCCUCCAAUUUGAUCAGGGGUUCUUGUCCCCCACUCCUUCUUCAGGGGCUAUGUGUUCUACUCUUGGGGUCCUCCUUGUUUCCUAGUUUCUCUGGUAGUGUGGAUUGUAGGCUGGUAGUACUUUGUUCUAUGUCUAAUAUCCAUAUAUGACAGAGUUUAUAGCCUGUUUGUCUUUUUGUCAUAGUGUUACCACACUCAGGAUAGUUUCUUCCAGUUCCAUCCAUUUGCCUGGGAAUAUCAAGGUUUUAUUGUUUGUUUGUUUUCUGAUGAGUAAAUUGUGUAAUUACACCACAUUUUCUCCAUCCAUUCUUCAGUUGAGGGGCAUCUAGGCUGCUUCCAGGUUCUGACAAUUUAAAUAAUGCUGAUGUGAGCAUAGUUGGAUAUAUGUCCUUAUUGUAUGAAUGUGUAUUCUUUGGGUAUACACACCUAAGAACACCUUAUUUUUGAGAAAGAAGCUAAAGUUAUACAAUGGAAAAAAGAAAGCAUCUUCAACAAAUGGUGCUGGCAUAACUGGAUGAAGACAUGUAGAAGAUUGCAGAUAGAUCCAUAUCUAUUGCCAUGUACAAAACUUAAGUCCAAAUAGAUCAAAGACCUCAACAUAAAUCUACCCUCUAAAACACACACUUAUACAUACACACACUCAGAGACAGAAUAAGAAAGAGAAAUAGAGAAUUAUUUGAGAUACAAUGAGGGUUGAAAAAUAACAUGGAUUAUCAUUUAAAUUGUCUUACAAAUAGUCAAAUGUUAUAAAAGGUAUAAUUUUUUUAAAACAGGAACAAGUACAUCCACACAAAAAUCUUUUUCUGAACACAAAGCAAAUACAUAAUUUUGUAUUAAAUUUUAUCAUCAAGAAUAAAAUAUUUAAAUUAAAAUCAUUUACCAAAUGUAAUCUCAUAUUUAAAACAUGAGCUAGUUCAUAUUUCAUACAAAUUCAUCUCCACUGAAUUAUUUAAAUAAAUAUUUUUUCAAGAUUUGCAGCCAAAGCAGCAAUUUCUGAAGGAAGAUGUAAAUAUCUGAUAGGUACAAACUGAUGCCUGGAAACUCUUUGUGUUUUCUCAGGCACCUAUCCUGCUGCAUGAUACUGGGAACAUCCAAUACUUUAGGGCAUAGACUGUAUAGAAAGGAAAACAAAGGUCUGGAAUAAUAUCACUAUAAAAUCACUAUAAAUCUAAUAUUCAUAAGACAUUCAGUGAGUGGCCAUCCAAGAUCCCAGGUGCUACUAUUUUGUCCUAAGUGACAAUAACAUGUAAGAAAUACAGUAUUUAUGAAAAUAUAUAGAAAAUAAGAACAAAAGCAGAGCAUUUUACUCUUAUUUCCUGUAUUCCUAACAUUUAUGCAAUUUGGCAUGUUCUCUCUCUCUCUCUCUCUCUCUCUCUCUCUCUCUCUCUCUCUCUCUCACACACACACACACACACACACACACACACACACACACUCACUCACUCACAAACCAAAAUUUCACCGCAAUAAUACUGAUAUAUACAGAAUUAUUUGAGAUAAUUUUAAGGAUCAAAAAUAACAUUGACUGUCACUUAGCAAGUCUUAAAAAUAGCCAAAUGAUGCAAUAGAAUAUUUUUUCAAAUUUCAGUAAAAAGUGUGUAACACAAUAAAAUCUUUUUUCUUAGAGGACAAAGACACCUUUAUAUAUAUUAUAAAUUCAUCUUUAUUGAAAUAUUUAAAUGACAGUUAUUGAGGUUUGGAAGCAAUUAUGAAACAGAUAAGUAUCUCCUUAGUGAACUCUGAUGCAUGGAGAGCCUUGGUAUUUUCAUAAGCUUCUAUCCUAUUCCAUGUGACUAGAAUCAUACAAUUUCCUGAAAAUCUAGGCAGAUCUGGAAGGAAGGAGAGACACUUGGUAUAAUAAUAAAGUGAAAUUCUUCUUUUAGCAAAAAUAGGUAUGCCGGUAGUUUUUUGAGCUAUAAAGCAAACUUACAUAGUGAGAAAUAUUUCUUUCAUUCCAGGUAUGCCAGAAUGGUAAACAUAAAAACAUAAUGGAACUUAUGCCAAAAGCUAACAAUCUGUCUGGUAAAUUUUCUCAACUUCUUAAACUUAACACAGAACUACAGAUAAACGAUGCAUGUUAACUUAGCAACCAUCUCUACUUGACAAUAACAUUGAUGGACCUUUCAGUUCCAAAUGGCCAAUGCUGAAAAUCGAUACACAUAAUCACCACAUUGUGUACAUAGUGUGGGCUAGUUUUACAUAUAUUUGCAUAUGCUCAAAAACAAUUUUUAUAAUAAGUUGCAUUUAUCUUGACCUUUAUUGGAGCAGACAUAGUAUUGCAGCAGGAAGCAGAAAGAAGUAGUCCAAACAAUUAAAUACAGUCUUCACGUAGGAAAUCGCAAACUCUGUCAACGAAGUAUACACGUGCAUAUAU